rnacentral:rRNA from 1 species
UGCCAGCCGCCGCGGUAAUACGUAGGUGGCAAACGUUGUUCGGAAUCACUGGGCAUAAAGAGUUUGUAGGCGGAUACAUAAGUCAGAUGUGAAAUCCCAGGGCUCAACCUUGGAACUGCAUUUGAAACUGUGUAUCUAGAAUACUGGAGAGGUGAGUAGAAUUUAUGGUGUAGCGGUGAAAUGCGUUGAUAUCAUAGAGAAUACCAAUGGCGAAGGCAGCUCACUGGCCAUGUAUUGACGCUGAGAGACGAAAGCUAGGGUAGCGAAAGGGAUUAGAUA